UGGGGAAUUUUGGACAAUGGGCGAAAGCCUGAUCCAGCAAUGCCGCGUGUGUGAAGAAGGCCUUCGGGUUGUAAAGCACUUUUGUCCGGAAAGAAAUCCUUGGCUCUAAUACAGUCGGGGGAUGACGGUACCGGAAGAAUAAGCACCGGCUAACUACGUGCCAGCAGCCGCGGUAAUACGUAGGGUGCAAGCGUUAAUCGGAAUUACUGGGCGUAAAGCGUGCGCAGGCGGUUUGCUAAGACCGAUGUGAAAUCCCCGGGCUCAACCUGGGAACUGCAUUGGUGACUGGCAGGCUAGAGUAUGGCAGAGGGGGGUAGAAUUCCACGUGUAGCAGUGAAAUGCGUAGAGAUGUGGAGGAAUACCGAUGGCGAAGGCAGCCCCCUGGGCCAAUACUGACGCUCAUGCACGAAAGCGUGGGGAGCAAACAGGAUUAGAUACCCUGGUAGUCCACGCCCUAAACGAUGUCAACUAGUGUUGGGGAUUCAUUUCCUAGUAACGUAGCUAACGCGUGAAGUUGACCGCCUGGGGAGUACGGUCGCAAGAUUAAAACUCAAAUGAAUUGACGGGGUCAUAGCUG
rnacentral:rRNA from 1 species